rnacentral:rRNA from 1 species
UGGGGAAUAUUGCACAAUGGGCGAAAGCCUGAUGCAGCAACGCCGCGUGAGUGAUGAAGGCCUUCGGGUUAUAAAGCUCUGUCUUCUGGGACGAUAAUGACGGUACCAGAGGAGGAAGCCACGGCUAACUACGUGCCAGCAGCCGCGGUAAUACGUAGGUGGCAAGCGUUGUCCGGAUUUACUGGGCGUAAAGGAUGCGUAGGCGGAUACUUAAGUCAGAUGUGAAAAUCCCGGGCUUAACUUGGGAACUGCAUUUGAAACUGGGUAUCUAGAGUGCGGGAGAGGAAAGUGGAAUUCCUAGUGUAGCGGUGAAAUGCGUAGAGAUUAGGAAGAACACCAGUGGCGAAGGCGACUUUCUGGACCGUAACUGACGCUGAGGCAUGAAAGCGUGGGGAGCAAACA